rnacentral:misc_RNA from 1 species
AACGCACAUUGCGCCCCUUGGUAUUCCGGGGGGCAUGCCUGUUCGAGCGUCAUUACAACCCUCAAGCUCUGCUUGGUAUUGGGCUCCGUCCGCGCAAGCGGACGCGCCUCAAAGACCUCGGCGGUGGCUCUGGCCCUCAAGCGUAGUAGAAUACACCUCGCUUUGGAGCGGUUUGGAGUCGCCCGCCGGACGAACCUUCUGAACUUUUCUCAAGGUUGACCUCGGAUCAGGUAGGGAUACCCGCUGAACUUAA